GAUUCGCUUCUUCAGUUCCGUCUUUCUGGCUACUCCGACAGGGGGAAAGGCGGGUGGAUCCUGGAACGGAUAUGAGCAACACAUCACGAAGAACAACAGUUUCAAAGGU